GAAAGCGGGGGCUCCUGUUCUUCGGAAUGGGACCUCGCGCUAUCAGAUGAGCCUGCGUUAGAUUAGCURGUUGGUGGGGUAAAGGCCUACCAAGGCGACGAUCUAUAGCUGGUCUGAGAGGACGAUCAGCCACACUGGGACUGAGACACGGCCCAGACUCCUACGGGAGGCAGCAGUGGGGAAUAUUGGACAAUGGGCGCAAGCCUGAUCCAGCAAUACCGCGUGUGUGAAGAAGGCCCUAGGGUUGUAAAGCACUUUCAACGGGGAGGAAAACCUGCCGGCCAAUACCCGGCAGCUUGACAUUACCUGUAGAAGAAGCACCGGCUAACUCCGUGCCAGCAGCCGCGGUAAUACGGAGGGUGCGAGCGUUAAUCGG
rnacentral:rRNA from 1 species